rnacentral:rRNA from 1 species
GGAGAGUUUGAUCCUGGCUCAGGACGAACGCUGGCGGCGUGCUUAACACAUGCAAGUCGAACGGUGACGAGGAGCUUGCUCCUCCGAUCAGUGGCGAACGGGUGAGUAACACGUGAGCAACCUGCCCCUCACUCUGGGAUAACAGUUGGAAACAGCUGCUAAUACCGGAUACGACACAGACAGGCAUCUGUACUGUGUGGAAAGUUUUUCGGUGAGGGAUGGGCUCGCGGCCUAUCAGUUUGUUGGUGGGGUAAUGGCCUACCAAGACGACGACGGGUAGCCGGCCUGAGAGGGCGACCGGCCACACUGGGACUGAGACACGGCCCAGACUCCUACGGGAGGCAGCAGUGGGGAAUUCUGGACAAUGGGCGAAAGCCUGAUCCAGCCAUGCCGCGUGCAGGAUGAAGCAUCUAUGGUGUGUAAACUGCUUUUGUACGGAACGAAACGGUCUGCCCUAAUACGGCGGGCUAAUGACGGUACCGUAAGAAUAAGCACCGGCUAACUACGUGCCAGCAGCCGCGGUAA